rnacentral:miRNA from 1 species
AUCUACCUCUUUGAUCGGAAGGGGUUCCUUCCUAUCAACGAGGAUGUACCCUCGUUGCCCGGAAGGAAACUCUUCCGGUCAACGAGGUAGAU